rnacentral:rRNA from 1 species
AUGCCAUGGCCAGCACAAAAGGCAGGCGAUGAAGAAGAAAAGCUCUGGUCAUGCUGUUGCAUCAUUCAUGGCGGGUUUAGCGGCUGGAGUGGAGAUCUAAGUUCAUUCCAAACGAAAACCGAAGACCAUGCGUGUACCGUAAUACGGCUGCCUAGUUGCUGCCGUGCUGCCCUUUUAAUAAUGGAGAUGCCAGAUCCCUGGCCUGUGCUUAUUUUUUACUACGCACUACAUGAUGUGCAUGACCCUUUCCAGGAAAGUGAGAUGAUUGAUCGGGGUUUGCUUGUUCUGGGGAUAAGGAUUCAUGAUUUCCUGGGUCAACACGCAAAAGUGUGA